UACGCAGAACUUAUAUGAUGUUAAUCACAUUUACGAUUAACCUCAUGUUCUCUAUGAAUACAUGGGAGGAGGGGAAAUAGAUUUGAAAAAGAAAGAAAGAAAAAGGAAUGGUGCAACUACUGUGCGAACAAAACCAAAUGGAAGUUGCAUAAGGUAAUGUUGAUGUUUGUCUGCGUAAUUGUAUUGUUAAAGAUGUGUGAG
rnacentral:lncRNA from 1 species